AGCACACAGAACUUGGCCCCACACUUCUAUCAGACCUUGGCCCCCAGGGGAGAAGCCCUGGGGCAGCUCCUACUAGUGCCACUCCCUUAACCCAGCAAAGCAACAGGGAGGGAGGAGCAGUGCUCAGCCAAUGAGGCGACGCCCUGGAGCCCCACCCACCCAUGCUGGCCCCAGGACCCCAACCCCAGGCCAGACCCUCCAGCGCUCCUCCAGACCUUCCCUGUCUGCAGCCCGGCUUUGGACUGUGGAGAUGCCCUCAGCCUCUGCUCAGUGGCUCCAGCAUCGUAUUUGCGUGCUAUACAUUUAACCUCAAGCCCACUUGCUGCUAACUUAAACUGUGACUGUCCAGGACCUGCACACACACACACAUGCACACACGCGCGCACACACACACACACACACACGCACGCAGAAGGUGAACACACAGGAUGAGGCUCUGAAAACUCAUUUCACCCUGUACCUUGCCUAAAAAUUCCCCUUUGUACUCCUCUCUUUCUCUCUAAUUGACAGCAUGAAGGUAGCCCCAAGUCCCUUCACCCUGUCUGUCCUCCUCAUUCUCUAACUCAGUUCCCUCUAGCUGCAGCACAGACUCUAAUCCCCAGCCCUGACUGCAGAAACCCUCCAGCCCCAGCUCUAGCCCCGCAGGAGGGGACUCCGCGGGAGGAACAACUGCAGCAAGCCGGCAGCGGACCCAUCUCUGGCCUGCACUCCUCCCCCUGUGGUCCACGGCCGGUGGUCUUCAGCUCUCUCCUCGUCCCACUCCCAUGGUCUGCUGACAGCCCAGCCCAGCACAUCCCUGCCAUCUCUGCUCUACCGCUGGUCCUCCCAACAACCAGUAUACAGGUUUGGAGGCACACAUGAAGGUCUGAUGUGUAGUAAACACAUGUCAUGGGGAUUUGUUGUACAGAUUAUUACAUCACCCAGACAGGGUUUCACUCCCGUCACCCAGACUGGAGUACAAUGG